UGAAGAAAGUUUGAUUCAAUUCCCCAUGUCUUUGUCUACUGACACAGGUUGUUGAAAUUGACGGUGGGAGUGGAUCUGCUUCUUUGACAGAUCUGUUGAAACAUGACAAGGUUCUGAGCAAGAAGCCCCCUGCUCCUCACCGAGUUGUGCCUGAUUAUCUGUUAAAUGCAACAACUAAAGAAGCCAGCAAGAGAGUUAAGCUUGCCAACCUUGGUCUCCGUGGAUUCAAGAAAAAAUUCAAGGAAGAUAAGGACCCCCUUAAGUCUUUCAGUGCUCAGCUUAUUUCCUGGAGGCCUACACCCUAGUGAGGAAGGGUGAUCUCUUGAUUGUGAGAGGAGGAAUGAGGAGUAUCGAGUUCAAGGUUAUUGAGACUGAUCCUUCUUGAGUAUUGUGUUGUUGCUCCAAACACUGAAAUAUUUCC